UAUAGAAUAGUGUAUAACGCACGGGGAUUUUUGGUGUCUCAGGAAUUGGUUUUACCCCAAUAUUUAUAG
rnacentral:tRNA from 1 species